rnacentral:rRNA from 1 species
AUUGAACGCUGGCGGCAGGCCUAACACAUGCAAGUCGAACGAGUGGCGGACGGGUGAGUAAUGUCUGGGAAACUGCCUGAUGGAGGGGGAUAACUACUGGAAACGGUAGCUAAUACCGCAUACCAUCGGAUGUGCCCAGAUGGGAUUAGCUAGUAGGUGGGGUAAAGGCUCACCAAGGCGACGAUCCCUAGCGGGUCUGAGAGGAUGACCAGCCACACGGGAACUGAGACACGGUCCGGACUCCUACGGGAGGCAGCAGUGGGGAAUAUUGCACAAUGGCCGCAGGCCGGAUGCAGCCAUGCCGCUUGGAUGAAGAAGGCCUUCGGGUUGUAAAGUACUUUAAGUUGGGAGGCGUUACCAACAGAAUAAGCACCGGCUAACUUCGUGCCAGCCGCCGCGGUAAUAC